CUGCUAUUUCAAAAUUAUUUUGAAAUCUAUGCAUGUUAGUCUAUCCGCUUUCUAACAAUGACUGCAUCAACUAUUGGGGCUGAUCAGAACACAAUCCAUCUGAAAAUUCUAUAACUCAAUACUAUCGAAUCAUCUGCAUCGAGGUAUGAUAUCAUCUAGCAUUCACAAAUAGAAAUAAAAGUUAGUUAACAUAAGUUAUCAAAUAAUAAAUACAAUACUGAUUGAAUUGCUAAUAAGAAG
rnacentral:lncRNA from 1 species